CUCGUAGGCGGUUUGUCGCGUCGGGAGUGAAAUCCACUGGCUUAACUGGUGGCUUGCUUUCGAUACGGGCAGACUGGAGGUAUGCAGGGGAGAACGGAAUUCCUGGUGUAGCGGUGAAAUGCGCAGAUAUCAGGAGGAACACCAGUGGCGAAGGCGGCCUGCUGGGCUUUAACUGGCGCUGAGGCACGAAAGCGUGGUAGCAAACA
rnacentral:rRNA from 1 species